UACGUAGGGGGCGAGCGUUGUCCGGAUUCAUUGGGCGUAAAGAGCUCGUAGGCGGCUUGGCAAGUCGGGUGUGAAAACUCCAGGCUCAACCUGGAGACGCCACCCGGGACUGCUAUGGCUAGAGUCCGGUAGGGGAUCACGGAAUUCCUGGUGUAGCGGUGAAAUGCGCAGAUAUCAGGAGGAACACCGGUGGCGAAGGCGGUGAUCUGGGCCGACACUGACGCUGAGGAGCGAAAGCGUGGGUAGCAAACAGG
rnacentral:rRNA from 1 species